UUCUGUUUUCAGUAUCUCCUGAAGGA
rnacentral:piRNA from 1 species